rnacentral:rRNA from 1 species
GCAUGGGAAUAUUUGUUAAAGAUUCAUCGCUGAUAGAUAGGCAUGCGUUCCAUUAGGCAGUUGGCGGGGUAACGGCCCACCAAACCGACGAUGGAUAGGGGUUCUGAGAGGAAGGUCCCCCACAUUGGUACUGAGACACGGACCAAACUCCUACGGGAGGCAGCAGUGAGGAAUAUUGGUCAAUGGCCGAGAGGCUGAACCAGCCAAGUCGCGUGAAGGAAGAAGGAUCUAUGGUUUGUAAACUUCUUUUAUAGGGGAAUAAAGUGGAGGACGUGUCCUUUUUUGUAUGUACCCUAUGAAUAAGCAUCGGCUAACUCCGUG